UACGGGGGGCAAGCGUUGUUCGGAAUUACUGGGCGUAAAGGGUUCGUAGGUGGCUUGCUAAGUCAGACGUGAAAUCCCCUCAGGCUUAACUGGGGAACUGCGUCUGAUACUGGCGAGCUUGAGUGCAGGAGAGGAACGCAGAAUUCAGGUGUAGCGGUAGAAAUGCGUGAGUAUAUCGGAGGAAUACCGGUGGCGAAGGCGGCGUUCUGGACUGCAACUGACACUGAUGAACGAAAGCCAGGGAGGCAAACGGG
rnacentral:rRNA from 1 species